rnacentral:rRNA from 1 species
CACUAAGAGAGGUUUGCUCUUAGCAGUACCUGCCCAGUGCGUCAUAUUGUAAACGGCCGCCCUAGCGUGAGGGUGCCAAGGUAGCGAAAUUCCUUGCCUUUUAAUUGUAGGCCUGCAUGAAUGGAUUGACGAGGGCCAUUCUGUCUCUUGCCUUAUGAAGUGAAAUUGGAUUAAAGGUGAAGAUACCUUUAUUAAAAAGUUAGACAAGAAGACCCCGUGCAGCUUUUAAAAGAUCCUUUAUUAAGAGAGGCAGAUUUUUAGGUGGGGCGCCUAGGAAGUAAAAUUUAACCUUCUGUAUAAUUUUGUUUAUAGUAACUCUCUAGUAUAGACCCGGUAAAAUCCGAUCGUAGGAGAAGUUACGCCGGGGAUAACAGGCUUAUCCAUUAGUAGAGCUCGUAUUGGCUAAUGGGAUUGGCACCUCGAUGUUGAAUUAGGGACAAUAACUUUAAGGCGUAGAAGCUUUAAGAGUGGGUCUGUUCGACCUUUAAUACCCU